rnacentral:rRNA from 1 species
CUUUGCCUACGGGCGGCAGCAGUGAGGAAUAUUGGUCAAUGGGAGAGAUCCUUAACCAUCCAAUCCUCUUUAAUUAAUACUUCCCUAUGGGUUUUAAACCUCUUUUGUCUUAUAACAAAACCCGGGACGUGUCCCGGACUGCGUGUAUCCGAAGAAAAAGCAUCGGCUAACUCCGUGCCAGCAGCCGCGGUAAUACGGAGGAUGCGAGCGUUCUCCGGAUUUAUUGGGUUUAAAGGGUUCGUAGGCGGUCUGUUAAGUCAGCGGUAAAAUUGCGGGGCUCAACCCCGUCGAGCCGUUGAAACUGG